GAAAUUAGUGGCAGGCAUUUUUCAUAUGAUUACUACACAAGAAAGUUAAGGAAUGGCGAGUUCAGUGAUCGGAGGUGGUUAGUGUACUCUAAACACGUGAAUAAAGUCUACUGCUUUUGUUGCAAAUUGUUUAAAUCUGGAAAAGGCAAAAGUCUACUAGCAUCCGAGGGAUUGAAGAAUUGGAGACAUCUUAGUUUGGAACAAAGAUAG
rnacentral:rRNA from 1 species